GUGAAACGAAAAAACCACAAUCUCCGCUGUCUUCGUGCCCUCUCUCUCUCAUCUUGACCUUUCUCUCUCUCUUUAUAUACCGACAGUGUUCGCCAUUACAGACUAUGCAAAGAAGAAGAAAGCAAUACUCAGCAGGGAUCUCUAGCUAGAAUCUGAAAGACGAGUGAAUUGAGGAGGGUUCUCGAGUAUUCAUUAGGGUUUGGAGGGAUCUGUGAGGAAUUAGAUAGGAGAGUAAGAAAGUUAUGUUCCUGAACAGGUUUUUAUUUCUGGCUUUCAAUAAAUAGCUGAUGUUAGAAGACAGAGAAGGAGGUGAUUGAAGAAAUGCAAACAGAGAAAACUGACAGAAGAGAGUGAGCACAUGCAGGCACUGUUAUGUGUCCAUUACUUUGCGUGUGCGUGCUCACCUCUCUUUCUGUCAGUUGCCUGCCUCUCUCUUUCACUCUCUCUAUCUUCUUUCACUCUCAAAUUUAUUUACCUUCUUAUCAUCUAUACAUAUCACUAUAUCACUGACCUUCUUAUCAUCUCUUUUGUUGUGCACUUGGCUCUCGUGAUGUGGAUAAGACUGUUACCCUUUCACAUUCGUUUCGUUACUUGUAUAUAUUACUAAUAUGUUUAAUUUUUUUUCUGUAUUGUGUUGAAGUGGGUGCUUAAGAAUGUUUGAUCUCGAGCAGUUUGGGUGGACAAAAGCUACGAUUUUUUUAUUUGGGUUUAUGAUUUUAAGUAUAUAAUUUUAACUGUGCUAUGGUUGAUUUCUUCUAGUGGAUCUAGGAAAAGCGCGAGUUUUGAUGAUCAUGAAACCCCCCACCGUUCUAUUUCAUGUAUACGCAAGUUCUGUGCCGUUUUGAUGGAAAUAGGAAUUUUUCUAUGAGGAGGUUUGUACGGAUUAAUGCUAGUUGGUGCAUUGAAGUCCUUCUUGGAAUGUGAUCCUGGAGUAGAUGCAACAGCUUCAUCUGCCUUCUUUCCUCUCGUCUCUCUGCAUAGGAUAGGAUAUAAAUAGAUUGGAGGUCUUGGCGUUAAAUGGUACCGAAAAAUCUAUCAUGGGAGUGCCUCAUCAGCGAUCCAAUUCUCAGAAACAGCAGAAUGUGUGAUACUGUGCCAGUCUUCUCAUAUUCACAGCAAAGGUGCGAGUAUAUUAGGACCAUAUACUCGUCUUUCUUGAUGUUAAGGUUUGUCCUUAGUUUAAAACUUUAAAUUUAGUGGUUCAUGAGGGUGAUUAUCAUUUUUGAAUCAGUAGACAUUAUUUUGUUUUGAA